GCCUGGGUGGCUUAGUCGGUUAAGCGUCUGACUUUAGCUCAGGUCAUGAUCACUCAGUUCGUGGGUUUGAGCCCCGUGUUUGGCU
rnacentral:tRNA from 1 species